rnacentral:rRNA from 1 species
ACGUGAGCAAUCUGCCCCGAACUCUGGGAGUAAAGCACUGGAAACGGUGUCUAAUACCGGAUACGACGCGGGAGGGCAUCCUCUCCGCGUGGAAAGAAUUUCGGUUCGGGAUGAGCUCGCGGCCUAUCAGCUUGUUGGUGAGGUAAUGGCUCACCAAGGCGACGACGGGUAGCCGGCCUGAGAGGGUGACCGGCCACACUGGGACUGAGACACGGCCCAGACUCCUACGGGAGGCAGCAGUGGGGAAUAUUGCACAAUGGGGGAAACCCUGAUGCAGCCAUGCCGCGUGUGUGAAGAAGG